AGUGAACGCUGGCGGUAGGCCUAACACAUGCAAGUCGAACGGCAGCACAGUAAGAGCUUGCUCUUACGGGUGGCGAGUGGCGGACGGGUGAGGAAUACAUCGGAAUCUACUUUUUCGUGGGGGAUAACGUAGGGAAACUUACGCUAAUACCGCAUACGACCUACGGGUGAAAGCAGGGGAUCUUCUGACCUUGCGCGAUUGAAUGAGCCGAUGUCGGAUUAGCUAGUUGGCGGGGUAAAGGCCCACCAAGGCGACGAUCCGUAGCUGGUCUGAGAGGAUGAUCAGCCACACUGGAACUGAGACAGGGUCCAGACUCCUACGGGAGGCAGCAGUGGGGAAUAUUGGACAAUGGGCGCAAGCCUGAUACAGCCAUACCGCGUGGGUGAAGAAGGCCUUCGGGUUGUAAAGACCUUUUGUUGGGAAAGAAAAGCAGCAGGUUAAUACCCCGCUGUUCUGACGGUACCCAAAGAAUAAGCACCGGCUAACUUCGUG
rnacentral:rRNA from 1 species